UUGGAUACGGUAUGUCAUGUUUUAAAGCUUUAUUUUAUUAUCUCAUGUCCAAAAUAUUAAUGUUUUUUUUCUUUCACAGCAAUCGUCAACGGAGGAGAGGUGUUCCGGACCUGCUCCGUCAACGGGAGAGGAGGAAGUCGGGGGUGGACACCAUGAAGCGUCUAAUCCUACUGUUGCCUCAAGAGGUCGUCAGCAACCAUCCACAAGGCGCCGGGGAGCACGCGGCGGUCGGGGACGUGGUUCAAGGGCCUCUGCCAGAACGGAUGAGGAGGAAUUAUCCGGAUUCUAUAUUGAUAAUGAACUCCUCAUCCAUCUGGUGGAGGAACGCGUCCCACUCUGGGACCAUACCGACCGCCGCCAUGCAGAUCAUCACCUGACCCGGAGUCUGUGGAUGGAGAUUUGUUGCAAAAUACUUCUGGAUUGGGACGACCUCAGUGAAGGCCAACAGGAAGAUUGCAAGACGUCAGUCAUGGUGCGAUGGCGCUCAAUAAGGGACCGCUAUAAGAAAGAUUAUAACGAGGAGGUCAAUCGCCCGAGUGGGUCUGGCGGAACCCGC